rnacentral:rRNA from 1 species
AGUACGUGAAACUGCUUAGAGGUUAAACCCGAUGAACCUGAAUAUCCGUUAUGGAAAAUUCAUCAUUAAUAUUAUUAUAUUUAAAAAUAUAUUAAAAAUAGUGUGCAAUUUUUCCAUAUAAGGACAUUGUAAUCUGUUAAUGUAUUAAAUAUUUAUCAAAAAAUCUAAAACAUUAGUUUAUUCAAAUUAGUUAUUUUCGAAUUUCUAACAUAGAAUAAUUGUAUUAGAUUUGAUAAAUCAUUGACAGAUUUUACUAUAUAUAAUGCUUAAAUUCUUUUUGAAUUUUAUAAUUAUAGUAAAAAUUUAUUUUUAUUUAUAAUUAUAUGCAUUUAUAUGAUUAACAAUGCGAUAGAUUCAGGAUACCUUCGGGACCCGUCUUGAAACACGGACCAAGGAGUCUAACAUAUGUGCAAGUCAUUGGGUAUUUUUAAUAAAACCCAAUGGCAUAAUUAACUUAACUGUUUUUUAAUGGGAUUAGUUUGUAUUUUAUUAUGAAAUAUAAAUUCAAUCCCGGGGCGUUCUAUAUAGUUAUGCAUAAUGAUAUUUAUAUUAUUUAUGCCUCUAACUAGAGC